rnacentral:rRNA from 1 species
CGAUUGUAGUCAUAUGCUUGUCUCAAAGAUUAAGCCAUGCAUGUCUAAGUAUAAGCAAUUUAUACAGUGAAACUGCGAAUGGCUCAUUAAAUCAGUUAUCGUUUAUUUGAUAGUACCUUUACUACUUGGAUAACCGUGGUAAUUCUAGAGCUAAUACAUGCUAAAAAUCCCGACUGUUUGGAAGGGAUGUAUUUAUUAGAUAAAAAAUCAAUGCUUUUCGGAGCUCUUUGAUGAUUCAUAAUAACUUUUCGAAUCGCAUGGCCUUGUGCUGGCGAUGGUUCAUUCAAAUUUCUGCCCUAUCAACUUUCGAUGGUAGGAUAGUGGCCUACCAUGGUUUCAACGGGUAACGGGGAAUAAGGGUUCGAUUCCGGAGAGGGAGCCUGAGAAACGGCUACCACAUCCAAGGAAGGCAGCAGGCGCGCAAAUUACCCAAUCCCGACACGGGGAGGUAGUGACAAUAAAUAACGAUACAGGGCCCUUUCGGGUCUUGUAAUUGGAAUGAGUACAAUGUAAAUACCUUAACGAGGAACAAUUGGAGGGCAAGUCUGGUA